CAAAUCAGGCAGUCGCGGGCGAGCGCCGAAAGGCUCCGUCCGAGGAAAGUCCGGGCUUCACAGAGCGAGGAUAACGGCUAACGGCCGCCGGGGGCGACCCCAGGGAUAGUGCAACAGAAAAUAACUGCGAAUCGUUGUUUUUCUCCAUGUCUGAUUGAACGAUUAAUCGGGGUCCCCGAAAAGCCUGCUUUUUGGGGAGAGGAGGAGCGGCAAAACGAGGACGGGAAUUGUUUUAUAAAGCAUUGAUAAAACGAUUCCCACUGAGUGGCGCCAGCGACGACGUGAUGGUGGAAAGGUGAGGUAAGAGCUCACCGGGGUGGCGGAGACGUCACCGCCGUGUAAACCCUAUCCGAAGCAACACCGCGGAGGGACAAUAUGCUUGCUCGGCAGUCCCGUGGAGGUGGCACCGAGCCGCUGCGGCAACGCACGGCCAAGAUAGAUGACUGCCCAAUACAGAACCCGGCUUAUAGAUUUGCUCGC
rnacentral:RNase_P_RNA from 1 species